rnacentral:lncRNA from 1 species
UCUCAUUUGCGGCGUGCUGUAGUCCUAUCCUAUAUAUGUUUGAUUUUGCUAAAGCACAUCUAGACGUGAGUAUUGGUUAAUCUGCGUCUCAAAUCAAGUGGAAGAUUCUGAUAUUCUCUCAUUUGCGGCGUGCUGUAGUCCUAUCCUNNNNNNNNNNACUGUACCACACUAAUGUAUCGGAGCUGUUGUAGGUAGAAGAGUAGGAUGUGCUCGCCCUAGCUUCAAUGAAGGCCAAGAUAACUGGUGACGUGGAGAUUAAACGGAUUCUUUUGGGACCUGCCAUUGCGAAGAAACGAAUAUGUGUAGCAUCUCAUGCUAACAUUCUGUUCUUAAAUAUAAGAUUUUUUAUGAUUUCACUAAGACUACAUAAGAUCUUUUUAAAGAUUUUACUACGGACUUGGUAUGUAGUCUGACUUGCAUUUAUGACUUUGAAGAUUUUUUUAAAGAUUUCACUAUGGACUUCUAAAGUCUGUAGAAAUCUUUAAAAAGACUAUUUAUGUCUUUGAAGAUCUUUUUAAAGAUUUCGCUACGGUCUUCUUCUGUAGAAAUCUUUAAAAAGACUUACAUUUAUGAUUUUAAAGAUUGGAAAUGUUAUAAAUUGUUUAGAAAUGGAAGCGAGAGACAAGACAAAAUAUGUAAAGUGAAUCAUUGUCUUUAUUAAUGAUUGAG